rnacentral:sRNA from 1 species
GCCGGGUGCAGAGGUGCACACCUGUAAUCCCAGUGGCUUGGGAGGCUGAGACAGGAGGAUUGUGAGUUCAAAGUCAGCCUCAGCAAAAGCGAGGUGCUAAGCAGCUCAGUGAGACCCUGUCUCUA